rnacentral:lncRNA from 1 species
GGAAAUCUUGGCCUUAAACCAAGGUCUCCCUUCCUAUUCCUUUGUCCUUUGCUCUUCCUUUCAUUCAAUAAAGUCUCUCUUAGGUUAUCUUAGUGAGAGUUUUCUUCUCUCCUAGGGUGUCCUAUUGAGAGUUUUAGUCUCUUCUAAACUAUCUUAGUGAGAGUUUUAUUUAGUUUUGUUAUUUACUUUUUCAGAUCUUGGAGUUUUUUUAGAUCUAUAUGUUAGAUCUACAAUUUUUUCAGUCUUCUCAUCAGAUCUCACUUUCAGUUUUGAGCUUGAACCAGUUGGAUAGCAGAUCUAAGGGAAUAUUUCAGAUUUGGAUCAAUCUCGGCAAAUCUCACCAUCUUUAUUGGACCUUACAACUGUUGAUUAGCAGAUCUGACGAUUACAGCAUGCACAAAGAGAACUGCAACGACUUUUUCUAUGAUGAAAUGUUUUUCAAAUUGAUGGUACUUUUUAGAUCUG